AUUGUAUUGGUAACUUACCAACACAAACAAUUAACAAUUAUUAAUUAUAUUAAUUAUAAUUAAUAUAGAUCAACAUAUAUAAAUAGGUUUGGAUCAACUCGUUAUGAGCGAUCCGAUCCAAAUUCCAACAAUAAUUAUUUAUUUUUAGAUAAAAAAACUUAUAUAAUAGAAUAAUGAUUCAAUACUGAAACAAUUACUUGCUAAUUAAUUUAAAAUUGUUGAAUAAGUAUCUUACAUUAAUGUAAAAAAUUAUAAAUUCCUAAUUCAUAAGCCAUGAAAUCUCUUAUAACUAUAAA
rnacentral:lncRNA from 1 species